UCUUCCCUCUCAACUGCAGACUAAUCAUCUGAUCUUUUUAGAACUGAUCUUCAAUCAUCUGCUCAUCGAGUUUAGGAUUUCGAUCUGUGUAAGUCAUUAUCAGUUUUUUCGAUUGCAGGGUUUCGAUCUUCAAUCAUCUGCUCAUCGUGUUUAGGGUUUCGAUCUGUGUGUUGUUGCAUGAUGUAUUUGGUUUUUUCAGGAGAAAUGGAAGUUUGUUGCUGAGGAGUAUUCUUUGCUAGAGAGCUUGCUAAAGAUGGUUACUCUGGUGUUGAAGUUAGGGUUACUCAUAUCAUCCUGUGAGAAAUGAAAUCAGCAUCAAAUGUAACUCAAGUUUUUAUUUAAGGAGUAAGUAGGUGAUUGAAGAGAACAUAGAUUGAAAAUAGCGGAGAAGCAUAUAUCUUGUUGAUUAUUGGCCUUGUUCGCUAAAGGAAUUUGUCCAGACAUUAAGAUAUCUUGUUUCCUAGAGAGCCAACAGAUUUACAAAGGGUGUUACGUAAAUUUACUCGGGCCUUAAGUGGGACUAUUAAGUGGGACUCUUGUCUUACUCAAAAUCCUAACUGCGAGCGUGGGAAUACUUAUUUUGAGAGUGACAAAGGCAAUAACACAAUUGCCUCGCUAACUGUCAAUAAGCUCUUUUUCUUCAGGUUCUAUUUUUGAUUUAGUUCAUUGCUCUUAAAAUAAGGACCUUCUAGGAGAAGGUGAUGAUACAAAGAUCAAGAUUCUGAUGAAAUUAGACAAGGAACAGAAAAUCCUGUCAAUUCGUGACCGUGGCAUAAGAAUGACAAAGGAAGAUCUUAUUAAGGACUUCAAAACUAAUACAAAAACUGGAACUUCUGCCUUUGUGGAGAAAAUGCAGACAGUUGGCGACUUCAAUUUAAUUGGGCAGUUUGGAGUUGGGUUUUACUGUCUAUCUUGUUGUCGAUUAUGUCGAAGUCAUUAGCAAGCAUAAUGAUCACAAACAGUACAUAUGGAAGUCUAAGGCUGAUGAAAAGUUUUUGUUAUUUCUGAGGAUGAAUUGAAUGAACCACUAGGACGAGGAACUGAGAUUAGGUUGCAUCUAAGCUGGGGAAUUUUGGAGGAAGAUAAACUUAAACUGAAAGGAGUUUAAUAGAGGGUGAAGAAGUAGAAGAAGAUGGUGAGAAAUACAAACUGGACAAAUAGACUGGAUUGACCAAGGUAAUCUUCCUGGAUGUUUUCUCCGAGCUAAAGCCAUUGGUCUCAUGCCUAUGAUCGACCAGUGUUCUUGGCGGGUUAGUGUUAAUACGGUACUUAUACAAGGUAUCUGCAUAUCCAUGUUGGCUGGCCUCUAUAUCGAAGAUGUGGGCAUGCAUUUGAGGCAUUCAAGUUGAUUGUGGCUGAUCCUGAUACCAAUCAAAGCUUGCACUGAAGCAAUAGAUGGCCACAAGGAUAAACUGGUAGUAAAGGAGGCACCAAGAGCAGUGAGUAUUAACUUUCUUGAAGUCAAUCUUAAAACCUACAACAUGUACCGUAAGAGCUAUGUAACAUGUGGUUGUGUAAACACUUUUAUUCAUUUUAGUAAACAACUAUGGAGUAUGAAUUAUGAAACUGAAUUUGAAUGCUAGUGAGCAAGCACGAUGACGACUUGCCUAGUAUAGAAGGAAUGUAAAAGACUGUUUACGUACUUACCAGAAUUUGAUACUUAACAUAAUUUUUUUUGGUACUUAGAAGAA